UUGAACGCUGGCGGCAGGCUUAACACAUGCAAGUCGAGCGGAAACGAAGAGGAGCUUGCUCCUUUGGCGUCGAGCGGCGGACGGGUGAGUAAUGCUUGGGAAUAUGCCUUUUGGUGGGGGACAACAGUUGGAAACGACUGCUAAUACCGCAUAAUGUUUACGGACCAAAGCGGGGGACCUUCGGGCCUCGUGCCAAAAGAUUAGCCCAAGUGAGAUUAGCUAGUUGGUAAGGUAAUGGCUUACCAAGGCGACGAUCUCUAGCUGGUUUGAGAGGAUGAUCAGCCACACUGGGACUGAGACACGGCCCAGACUCCUACGGGAGGCAGCAGUGGGGAAUAUUGCACAAUGGGGGAAACCCUGAUGCAGCCAUGCCGCGUGU
rnacentral:rRNA from 1 species